UACGGGGGGAGCAAGCGUUGUUCGGAUUUACUGGGCGUAAAGGGCGCGUAGGCGGUCGUGACAAGUCACUUGUGAAAUCUCCGGGCUUAACUCGGAACGGUCAAGUGAUACUGUCGGACUAGAGUACAGAAGGGGCAACUGGAAUUCUCGGUGUAGCGGUGAAAUGCGUAGAUAUCGAGAGGAACACCUGCAGCGAAGGCGGGUUGCUGGGCUGAUACUGACGCUGAGGCGCGAAAGCCAGGGGAGCGAACGGG
rnacentral:rRNA from 1 species